GAACUACGUGGGUCAAGAGUAAAGGAGCUGUGGCUUCCCCCCAAUCAGAAGGGCACUGGAUGAUGGAUGAACUCUGUGUGGUGCGUCUUCACACUGACACCAGGAGGAUAAGGAAGUGACUCCCUCAGCUGAGUGGCUGGCAUGUGCCAGGCUAGAGCAGCUUGGCUAUGGCAGAACAUCCAGCCCCACCGUGUGGACGGUAAGGAAGGGUGGAUCCCCCAGGAGAACAAUUCUGAAAGAACAAAGAAGUGAUGUUUAUUCCGAAGAAUCUGCAAGGAAACAAUUAUUUCUGAUUCACCUACUCCCUUCCGGGGAGCAAGGCCUGCAAAGGCAUCAGAUGCCUUCCCAGCCACUCACUGCCUCCAACCUGGCCAUCCAGCCCUCCAACAGAGGAGAGGAAGGGUAGUGUGGGCCCCCCUCCAGAGCCAGGGGAAGGCAACCCAUCCCCACUGGUAGCCAGUCCCUCUCCCUCCCUCCCCACCCUGCCCACCAGCCAUUCACUGGUGGGUCACAUGGCAAAGUGAGGUCUGCCUCUCCAAUCCUCACACCCAUCAUAUACCCUCAAGUGUCCA
rnacentral:lncRNA from 1 species